UACGUAGGGUGCGAGCGUUGUCCGGAAUUAUUGGGCGUAAAGGGCUCGUAGGCGGUCUGUCGCGUCGGGAGUGAAAACUCAGGGCUUAACCCUGAGCCUGCUUCCGAUACGGGCAGACUAGAGGUAUGCAGGGGAGAACGGAAUUCCUGGUGUAGCGGUGGAAUGCGCAGAUAUCAGGAGGAACACCGGUGGCGAAGGCGGUUCUCUGGGCCUGUACUGACGCUGAGGAGCGAAAGCGUGGGGAGCGAACAGG
rnacentral:rRNA from 1 species